rnacentral:rRNA from 1 species
CAGCCGCCGCGGUAAUACCGGCGGCCCGAGUGGCGGUCACUAUUAUUGGGCUUAAAGCGUUCGGAGCCGGGUUGGGAAGUCCUCCGGGAAAUCUGGCCGCUUAACGGUCAGAAUGCCGGAGGAUACUCCCAGCCUAGGGAGCGGGAGAGGCCGAGGGGAUUCCCGGGGUGGGGGUGGAAUCCUAUAAUCCCGGGAGGACCACCUGUGGGGAAGGCGCUCGGCUGGAACGCGUCCGACGGGGAGGGACGAAGGCCAGGGGAGCAAACCGGAGUAGAUACCCGGGUAGUCCUGGCGGUAAACGAUGCGGACUUUGUGUCGGACAAGCUAUGAGCUUGUCCGGUGCCGGAGGGAAACCGUUAAGUCCGCCGCCUGGGGAGUACGGCCGCAAGGCUGAAACUUAAAGGAAUUGGCGGG